GGAAAGCGCUAAACGUUGCUCAACUGCCCACUCUAGUUGGCUAUUCAGAACAUGAGAUGAAAUCGAGUCUUCUAAUUCCUGCUUUGUUUGCCUAUCGUAUAGUUGUUUGAUAUGAAAAUUCUAGUUCUGAGGUGAGGUGAUAAGGCUGGACUUUAGGGAGGAGUUUGGUGGGCUCUAUUCCCCUGGAGGAUACCAUAGCUGUCAUUAGUUGCACCAUCAUCUUCAUUUGUCCUUUGAUCUGCUCUAACUCCCUCAUCAUAUGUGUCAACUCGGACCGGUCGGUUGAUGUUGCUUCUUCGGAACCUGCUCUUCUUCCUCGGGGAGGAGUCGAGCUAGGGUAGCUGUAAUCUACUUCCUCUUCCUUUCUUUCUUUUAGCAUCUGUUGGCUGGACUUCUUCUGAAGAUUCAUCCCUUCAUAAAGAUGAUUGUCCACGUGAGGAAGAGAGUACAAAGAAAGCUAAAAAGACAACAAAUAAAUCGGAUAAGAAGAAAAGUGGUACUACUAAAUCAGAACAGUAUAAGCAAGAAGUCUUCGAUAUUUUGCAUGAUACUAAAAAAAGGUUACCAUUAUCAGAAGAUGAAUUAAAAAAGAUCCAAAUCAAGAUUGAGGACCAUACUAUGUUGUUCAAUGAGGAAUCUGUGUUUAAGACAGUACCCAACAGAAUUAAAAUAUUAAUAAAGCAUGAUAGUACUCAAUACCCUAGUUCUCGCCCAAGAGAGAGUAUCUGACUUGUUUUCCUCAGUUUCAGUUGAGGAUCCCUAGUUAUCGAAGGGAUAGUAGCUCGUAUUCUAGAGUGAAGCCCCCUUCAAGUAGUAGCCCAAAGUGAAGGAGAUGUCUAGGAGAAGGCUUUGUCUCUAGUGAAUUCCCGUAGUGCGUGUCUGCCCAGAUGUGAGUGACCUACCUCAGUCGAGAGAGAGAUACCGCUAUAGAGACAGAAAGAGAAAUCUAGCUACUCGCCGAUAGAAAGCGAUAGAUUGUUCACUGCCCCUAGUGGAUGGAGAAGAUACAGAUACCAACGGGAUGGGAUAGUUGCCCCUCCUCUCCAAUAGAGGUUUAGACUGCUCAAUGACUUCUCUUUCUAUGUAGUAACAAAGGUUCAUUGCCCGGAAGAGAAAGGGGCGGGUUCAUGGAUAGGGUUAGGCCUGGGUGCCUACGCCCCGGGUAAAGGGAUGAAGUGGGUAAUUUAGGGAUAGGGUUGGCGAAGGCUGAGACUUUGUUUGAACCAGAAUAGAAAGAGAGCUAUAGAAGUGGAACCGCCUAUAGAAGUUGAAUACUGCCAAUCUCUGGCAGGCAGAGAUAGUUGUCCAAUCUAUGGAUAGCACUAUCUAGACGGAUAGAUUCAUCUACCAGCUGGCCCUAGUGAGAGUGUCAGGAACAAAAUCGCCUAUGUCUGGCCCGGGGAGUAGACCAUACGGGUAGAGUAAGCUGUAUAAUUGUUUACUAGAUGGAAGGGGAUGGGCGCCACUAUCUAAUAGUUUCUCUCUUAUCUAAUAGCCAUUGGAAAUGAAGUAGCAGGGGCGCCGACAAGGAGUAAUAACUAAACUACCACCCGGAGCACCUGAUGAGACUAGUAGCUAGGGGAAAGAUUGGAGGGACGAAGCAGACACAACAGCUCUAAACUACCCGGAUUGGUAAUAGACUCCCUGGUCAUCUUUAUUGAGAUGGGGGGAUGGAGGAACCAGAAAGAAAGCUUAAAGGCUAAUGAGAAAGAUGUCGAUUAGGAGCUAGAAGCUAUCAAUAGAAUGAAUGAUAGUAGGAGUGAGUCUUCAUAUUCGAGGGGAAUAAGGGAAAGCAAGUUACAACCCUUUAAUCGAUUAAAAUAGUGAUCCCAUCCGCGGAUAAGAAUCGCGCUUUACGAGCUGAAAACCAUGUCUUUUAGAAAAUCUUUCGUGGUUAGGCUCGAUGGAAUGGAGGGUCAAACAAGAUCAUGAGCUCUGACUUUGCUUUUUGCUGGUGAUAGUGAUGGUGCGGGGUCGGGGGAUGGAUACUAGUACUGGGACUGAUUCCGAUGCAAGGAAUGCUCCUACCCGCGCAGUCUCCUCGUCCAUACCCAAGCCGAAAACAGAUGAAAAACAAGUCAACAAUAUAUUGUGUAAAUUAUUCAAGGUCAUGCAGAGUGGACUACCUAUAAAAAUNNNNNNNNNNNNNNNNNNNNNNNNNNNNNNNNNNNNNNNNNNNNNNNNNNNNNNNNNNNNNNNNNNNNNNNNNNNNNNNNNNNNNNNNNNNNNNNNNNNNCACGACUCCACCACUUCUUUGGAAGUUCCAAUUCAAACCAGUGCUUAUAACCUAUGACCUUCUUUGUUAUGUAGAUGGUUCUUUCCCUUGUCACCCUCAAUUCCAAGCCGAUGAUAUUGGGAAUACUGUGGUGAAGUCCGAGGAGCUUCUUCGUCUACUUCCUUAUCCUCCGCUCUGAAAUCUCCAUCAAAACAAAUUCAUCUGUUAUACAAUACGUGUCCAACAGUGCAUUCUCCAACUGUUGCAUGCAUUGGAACUACAACGAUUUCACCAACUGGUAGCACCAUUUCCAUUUCAGCUUUUAUGCCACACAAUCUUGGAACUAAUCGGCAAAUAAAUCUUAGAUACUGAUCCUCCGCGUCAACAAACAGCCAUUCCUUCGCAAAGUGCUUACUAUCUAGAAUAGCCUGAGUAGCCAAUUCCACCAGAUGUGAUCCUCUGUAAUCCAACAGAACAUUGUUAUAUAGAUCAACCAAAUCAUUGUAAACAUCAAGACCUGGCACCAGAGAUGAUACUGUAAGAAGCUUUCGAGGUGCUUCUUUUUGCGGCUUAGAAACGUUAGCCUCAUUACCAACCUCACGGAUGGAAUAUUCAAAAAUUCGAGUGACUGGGUCACUGUGCAACGCACAACGUGAUUUCCUACAAUCACAUUGUUCAUUGCUUUUAGAACAUAAUCCAACAGACCUGUAUCACCUAUAUGAAGCCGAGCUGCAUCUCACAAAUCUUGUCGUGUCAUGCCGCCAUGUGCUUGAUUCUCUUUCAAUGCGUCCACAAUGACUUCUGCUAUAAAUUCCAGUCUUCUUAUAGGCCAUCUACUAUCCAUACACGCAACUACAGUAGAGAACCUCCUAUAAGCUGUUGACUUCUCUUUUCUCAAAGGCUUGCUCUGGGUGGAGAGUCUGCUAGGGGGUCUCGUGAUGGAAGAUGGAGGAGCUGAAGUAGCUUUGUUAAUUUGCAUAGGAGCACGAUAUUUUAUAGUUAGAAUAAACCUGAGUAGAUCUUUGAUUGUAACUAGCUGGGUUUCACUCAUGUCUCUGUAAUGACGAAUUAUCUGCUUGAUUUCUCUGCCACAUAGGUACUUUGAACCACCUUCAAUGCCAUUGAUGCAGACCAAAUGACCAAACCCGUUACAGUGAAUCAGGCCAUGCAACAGAUGGGUCUGAAGUUGUAUAACAUCAUCAUCCAGAGGCUUAUUCCACUCAUCAUCCGUAGGGAUUAUCAAAUGAGACUUCCGUUUAGACAGAAAAUGAUUGCUCCAACGUCAACAACGAAAAAACCAAGUCCCAUCCUCUUUAAGGAGCUUAGCCCUCUUCUUAUCCUAAACCCCCCGUCAAUUAGAGGAAAGCUAGAAGCCUCACUCAAUAAGGCUGCUGUCGGGCUUGCCAUCCUCGUUCAAUCCCUCUCUCGCUCACUCAGUUGGUUAGAGUAAAGCACUGGGACUGGAGAAACAGAAGUCAAUAUUUCUGGCGUGAAAUAUUCUUCCUAUCCGGAGGAAGCACAAUAGAAUCUUUGGGUCGUGGGCGAGGUGUAAAAGGUCCACCCGUGAAGAAGUGGGUGGAUCAGCAACUGGUCCAUUCCAAGAUGUCAGUAAUGCCUUACCAGAAUUGAGAAUUGAGGAGUCAUCCCUUGCUUCAAGAAAUUCAUUAACGGCUCCUACUUCAUUUACUCAAGCUGCGGAUUCUAUUCCUCAAGUGCCACAACUUUAUUGUAUACAAGAAGUUCCUUCCGUCGCCUUCCCCUUCUUGCAUUGAGUCAGAAUAUCCCUCUUUCGUACAUGAGUAGACUGCUCGUUACGCCCUUGUAUAGGUUGGGCUACUUUUGAACUUGUCAAUGCGACGUGGUAAAUGUGAGUUUAAAACAGAUUGGGUAGUUCCGGGAGAGAAUUCCACUAUUAAUGAUUCCUAUGCUAAUCCUAUUGAAGAAAAGCUUGAUUCGGUACUUGUAGCUGGGCUUACUCGAUAGAGUUUUUCCCUUACUAGUAAAGGGGCUGGAGACAUAGCUUACCGACCCCCCUAUUAGUAAAGGAGAGGGGGAGCCUUACUUACUCAAUAGGGGCAAUAGCUGAUUGGAAUGGUGAUAGGAUAGAUCGGGAUUACUAGCAUUAGCCUGAAACAAACGAAGAACUGCUUAAAUAACAUCUAACAAUCUUGCUUUAGCUCCCGACGAGUUCUAGUUCUCUCGGGGGGACGCUAAGGUCAAUGAAUGUGACAUAAUAUGGACAGAUUAACGUCAUGAGGAGACAGGACUUGAACCUGCGUGACUCAUGUUAUGAGCCUUGCGAGCUAACCAAACUGCUCUACUCCGCGUCUCUGCGUGACUCAUGUUAUGAGCCUUGCGAGCUAAUCAAUCUCCUGCUUUCAUUCCGUUUGGAAUCAACAUGCGCUCUGAGAGCGGAUCUAGGAAUACCCUGGCAAACCGAUACUUAAAGCAGAGACAUCGCCUGGGGUUGUUGACUGCUAAUGGGCUUCAUGACUAUGUUCGUAAAUCGGGAAAAAAGGAAUGAAUAGUCGCUCAGCUCUUGCAUUUCCUUCUCUCUCUAUAUACGACAUUUAUGGAUUCCACUUGUCUACCUGUCGUGAUCGAUUCUCGUAUAUAAGGGGAAUAUAUACUCUAUCUAGCGGAUUGAUCAAUGAAUUAAAUACCCAGGUAAGAUAGAAGAAUAGAACAACAAAAGAUCUGAUACCUUCACAAAACAAAGGAAGAAAGGAAGUUUUUUCUUUCUCAGUGCCGUUGGGAGAAAGUUUAGUCCAUUGGGGCUCUGAAAAAGAUCUUAGUGAUAAUCCCAUCCAUCGUGAUCGACGACCAACCUUCUCUCAUUUAGGAGGGGUUUUCAGAUGUAGUCUUUCAAAAUCCAUAGGAUGAAGUGAAGCUUCAGAGCUAAGAGAGAAGGGGGGAAGCAAGCAACCUCGAACCGCGUAAUGAAGCAAAGUGUUUUAGGGUUGAAGCCAGUAAUCUAUGUAGCUUAGAAUGGGUAGGUCUCUAAGAGCACUGAAAAGUCCAACUCUAAGUGUAAGGCGUUCCAACAUUUGUUACCUAAUAGAAAUUCCAAGGCAAAAGCAAGAGUUGGGGCGGUGGCAUAACCAGGAAAUGGUUGAGUUCUUUUGUAGUACCUCCAACCAACUGGCUCCAAUCAUUUUCCCUUUUUUUUAAUUUGAUCACGCGGUAUGUCACGACCCAUCUUUCUCUUCCCUUCACGUAAUUCUUCAUUCUGAAGCAAAUAAGACUUCUGGAGAGAGGGGCACCCGUGGGCAGACAACCGAUCCUAUAAAAAGUAUAAGGAGGGGGGUUAACACAUAUGGCUGGUUCCCUUUGUAAAUCUGUAAACUUUAAUAGGAAAAUCCAUAGCAUAGUGAGUAGAUCCACAUCCAGAGUAGUGAUCAAACAAUUAUCACAAUCGAGAUUAGCAAGUAGGAAUGGAUAGCUGUGUUUGCAACCAAUUAGAACUAGAGAGCGUGAAGGAAACCAACCCUAUUGCAUAUUGUAAUGUGAUUUUGCGCCUCACUUGACGCUAGACGAUCUAUCCAUAUAGCCAGAAAGAUGCCUAUCAGGAUCCAAGGCUAGAUCUAGAGGAAGGCACUCGAGGUAGCAAUUAUGGAGAAUAGAGCCAAACUGCUAGUAAACAAGGGAUUAAUUAUGGGCAAGUUGAUAGCAUUCCUCGCGAAACAGAAGGAAAACAGCUAAAGAUGUGCAUACCCCUCUUUAAGUAAUUUUUGCAUAUAAUGAGUAGUCUUUGUUUGAUUUAUCCACUCCACAACUCAGGGGCAAGGUUGAUUUAUCUAUAUCUAUUCAAUAAAUGUCGGCUUUAGCCAAAAAAAUACUUUGCUAGCCCUUUAGGGGUCUGGGUGGCACUCCUCAUGGCUAUAGUUACUAAUCCGAGGCACUGGCUUCAGAAGCAAGUUCAACCGGCUUACAAACCUUAAAAUCACAGCCUUUUCAUAGAAUUUGAUCAAAGAGUGGUGGGUUCAAAAAAGAGUCCCCCUGACGUUGCUACUUCCUUUAAUCAAGUGUUUGGAAUGGUUCUAGGUGUCACAUUCUCCAAAAGGGCAGGACUACUAUAAAAAUAUGAAUAAGGGGUCAGAUAUCUUACUAGCUCUUAGAUAUCCUCCGGAACUUCCCACUUUCUAGUCUCAAUCUCCUCAAUAACUUGACAUGGAAGCUAGCAAGCAAGGACUGACCAAGGGAAAGAGCUGGCGUCUUGUUUAAAGACCGUGUAAGGGCCCGAGGGAGGAAGAACGAAGCGAGGAUAGAGAUUGCCCUAUAGACCAUCAAUGGGCGACAACCCGCUUUUUGAAGCCUGGGAUUAGUUCAACAGAAAGGGAGCUCGGGACAAGAGAAGGAAAGUUAUGGGAAGCGAGAGCUUGCUUGACCGGUAGUAAGGGAGAGUCAUAUUAGUAGUCAGCGUAGUAGCUAGUUUUAGUUAGUUAGUAGCAUUGGAGGUAGAGUUCGCAAGGCUCUUGUAUCAAUUCCGGUUCUGGACCGCUCCAAGUAGAGUAAGAAUCCGGAUGUGAGUGAUUGCGUUAAGUAGUAUAGUAAUAUACUAUAGUAAUAGUAAAAAACUAAGAAUUCUACGGAACCUUCUUUUCGGUAUCUGCUUUUCCUGCCUGGCGUCAGUAAGAAAAUCCUUUCCCAAUCCUGUAUCGAAGUCAGUCCCCCCACGGGGUUUUGUUUGUCCAAGUCACUAAGCAGUCUCCUUUUUUUUAGUGUGCUUCCAGCUUCCCAAGGUAGUGCCCGGUCGACUACCCCAUUUCUUCUAUGGAGAGAUGUCCCUUUUGCUUCUUUCUCCUGCAGCUAGUGCUAAACUAAAGGCGGGGUCGGUUUUGUUAUGCUAGACCUAGCUUCUGCUUUCCUGUACUGGAAGUUGAGAUAACGGGUCCCCAACUUCAGGGUUCUAGGAGUCAAGUAUAUGUUAGGACCUCCUUCCAGGUAUCUCCCUAAGUGAAGUCUUCCCUCUGGAUCUAGUUUGUUCUAGGGGAGAAGGUUUUUAUCCCUCUCCUUGUCAGUCGAGCUACUCCAUCCCUCUGAGUUUCAUAAUUCGGAUAUGAGCUCCCCAAGGUUUUUAUUACUAAAGGAAGUACUGGGCUAAGGCUAAGGGCGGACCCCUCCUUCUAUCUUCUAUCUAGGUAUCCCGGUCUGGAGUGAGCUCGCUACCAACUAAGCUAUUUCGUUACAGACUUAGUUUUGUACCCUAAUAGGGUUGUGUUCAUCCUACGUACUAUUAGCUAUAGUCAUUCAUUGGUUCAUUUCCUUUGUAGGAAUGCCCCUCUUGCAUAAGAACUCCACCAAUGGCAUAGUCCGAAGCAUCGGUAUGUACCUCGAACGGCUUAGCAUGAUUCGGUAAGGCCAGCACCGGAUCAGCUAUGAUGGCUCCCUUUAAGUCCUCAAAGGCCUCUUGACAUUCUCUCGUCCAAUGUCAUGGUUGGUUCUUCUUAAGGAGAUUAGUCAAAGGUGCAGCCCGACCUGAAAAGCCUUGGAUGAACCUACGAUAGUAGUUUACCAGGCCAAGAAAAGAUCUUAACUCAUAUACCUUUGAUGGGGGAUCCCAUUCCUCUAUGGCCUUCACUUUCUCAUUGUCCAUGCAAAUGGUCCCUCCCUUGAUCCGAUGUCCAAGGAACAAGACUCUUCUGUUCCGGGCGCAGCGGCCAGGCCAUUUGCUAAAUCUUCGCUUAUGGGAAUACCGUACGCCAACGGUAAUUACAAUUCAGAUGGAAAACCAUAGCGAAAGCCCGAAUUACUUCCUUCAAACAAAGCCGGUGCACCGUCCAGGUUCGGAUCAAUACUUAUAAUUAACCAACCCUAGUUUCGACAUCAAGAUCAAGAGAGUUACCUCGCCAGAAUUAAUCUUGGCUGAAUAAUCUCUUUGAACAAAAAGAAGACCAAGGCUGGGAACUUCUCCUAUGAAAACGGAUGGCGAAACUAAGGAUUCAUAGCAUGUCUUCGACCUCCCCUCUGAAAAAGCUUUCUCAAAGAAGAGAAGCGCUUUGCCUUUCCCAAUAGCUUUCAGUUCCAGCAUGAUAGCCGGUGUGAUCAAAGAAAGAGAUCAAUCUUUUUUUAUAUAAUAAUAGAUCCGCGAUCGGUCUCAACUGAAAGAGUCUCACAUGCAUCUCUUUAUGAACUAUUCUUCCUAGCCAAGACAACCUCUGGUCCGCUCAUUAGUUCAUACGGUUCGCAUCUUCCCUUUUCCGCGGAGUAGAGCAAUUGGUUAGCUCGUAAGGCUCAUAACCAUAAGGUUACAGGUUCAAAUCCUGUCUCCGCAACAUUAAUCUAUUCAUAUUGUGUCACAUUCAUCAACCCUUGUAUCAUCAGCUGUCUCGUAUGAUCGAGCCAUAUUCCAGAGGGAAAUCAAAUGAAGCGGUGCCUAUCCACGAUCUAACGCGUGGGAAUAGAUGCCGAAGGGAUCCAUACUUGCUCACAACGAACUGAACAAAGGAAAGGGACGUAGUUGGAGAUGUCUACAGGAGUAAUCAUAGGUUUGGUAUGUACCAGCUUAUAAGAGGGCGUCCGGGGACCAGCAAAGAUGUUCUUCCUGCGGUUGAUCUACGGCCUGGCGCGCCAUACACUGAUUGGUUGCUGAACGGUUUGCAUCCCUGACCCCCGGUCUGCUCACCUCGGCGUGCCAAUACUGCGUCCCGAUCUCUAACUCGAUAGUUACAGAAUUCCGAUCAAAUAAAUCCCUGAACCUACGAGCUUAACGCAUGUAUUACAAGGAGCACAAUACACUUACAGUCCUUCUACCCGAAAUGGACACUAUGCGAAUGAUAAGAGAGAUGGCCCAUAUGAUGUUUCCAAACACCUGCACUUAAGUCCUCGGCUUCCAUUCCAUUAGUCGAUUAAGCCAGCUCGUUUGGCAGUUAGGCGGGCAGUGUAUUAGUAGUUGUAGUGGCCAAGAGAGAGCGAUUCUCGGUAGUAGUGUUCUUUUCAAACUAAUGUAUGUAUAAAGUAUUCCCAAGAAACUAAGUGCAGAGGAACGCGAGGUAGUGAAGAAGGCGAAGGUAGACCCCCUUUAGACCUUGAUGCCUGCGUCUCUUACUUAGUUUCUUAAACCUUAGUAAUUCAACAUGGGACUAGGCUUGCUGGCGACAAGAGUUGGAUGAGCGGCCGGAUUAAACCCUUGGUAGUAGUGUGCUUGUGGGGGGCACGUAGAGGAUAGAUUGUAGUUGGGCGGGAUAGUAGCUCUCGAGUAGUACCUCUAGAUUGGAUCUUCUCUUGAAUGUGUUUGGGAUUAGAGACCCUAGUCCUCGACCUCUUAGGGCAUAAGGCUUGUCUUCGCAUCUGCACGAUAACUUUUCGGAAGAAGGGGUACUUGCUUAGGAGGCAUUAACGGGUCUGAUUUUCAGCACCUUACGUGCUACGGGUGAUAGCCUUUUCUUGUGUAGAUGCCAAACCUCUGAAAAUAUCAGGAAUAGCCAGCCCGCCUACGAAGGACAGACAGGACACAGGAGUUGGACCUGUAAGAGCAGCACACAUUUGCCCUUAGACCUUAGCUAUACAGCUGUCCUUCGACUCUAUUGUAUGGAAGCUGGGUUCACCGAACCUAGACCCGAAAUCACUUACAUAAAUGAAUCUAAUCUCUUACUUAUGGCUUGGCUCGAGCAAGUACCCUUCUUUUCUAGUCUGCAGAAUAGAAACCAUAUGGAUUCGAUUCUGUGUAUUAGUGAUAGUCGAUUUUGAUCUAUCUUUCGUGAAAGGGGAAACGCAGUGGUAAAGAAGCAUAUCCGCUGUGAACAAGAUGACUUUUAUUUGCUCUUUGUUCCUACCACUAGGUAGUGCCGUUCUUCUCUACUGCUCGAGACCCAUAGUUGGAAACAUCUAUUCAUGGAGAUCAUUAUAGGAAAAUCCCCAAUUGGAAAAAUUUAUAUAGGUAGAGCCAUUCAUCCAUCCCCAAAAGAAAGCACUUGAGGGAAGUGGAUUUAGUCUUUCGAUCGCUACUCCAUGGUAAUCAGUCCUCUCUUCGAAGACUAAAACUUUUGAUAGUGAUAGAUAGAAAGGCUGGGCUGAAUCCCUUUUGGGAUUGGAACCGUGAGCCCGGGCGGUAAAGCUAAAUCGAUCCUCAUACGGAUCAAUUCAAGAAAGGUGACAGCCCUUCAUCCCAGGUGAAAAAGCGGCUUCUCUAUCUUCAACUAGUAGAGUGGCUAGCGAACAGGUGCUCUCUCUUUUGCUAGGAGAGUGGAUAGCGAGACCUGGUUAGCGAGCUUGUUAUAGCACUCUCAAUAUGGAAGUGAGUCAAUGGCAGCAACUAUAGUGAAAGGGCGAGGUUCAAAUGAGGAAAGAAAGGGGGAGGAAAUAACUCGUAUCGGGAGAAGAGUAGGAGACAGACCGUAUGAGCUUUUGUAGGAGAAAGCAGACCGAGUUUCAGACCUAGGAUAGGAGUCCUAAUUUAUUGACCUUGAAGUUUCGGCAAAGAAGUAAGCACGAACAUGAAUAGGAGCAGGCAAUUGAAUUGUAUCACAAUCGGAAUAUGUUAAAUAGGCAUAAUAGCACGUUUACCAGCUAUUGGAAUAGGCCACCCGUCUUAGCCACCUUAUUUUGAAAGAGCAAGCUAGCAAGUCUUCCGGUGACUAAUCUCCCAUCGCUAAAAAGCCCAACCGGAUCUUCUUUCUCUGGUUUCAAAACCCCAACCGGUAACCAAAACAAGCAAGCCAGCUUCGGUAGUAGCUUCAAAGGAAUUGGUAGUAUGUCUUGAAUAGGAAAGCAUUCAUAAUGUAUGAACUCAACCUAUGUUCAAGAGCUUGAACAAUGAAGUGAAAGGCUUUACUUUAGAAUUCGAUCUGGUUUUCAUCAUUGUCGACAGAAAGAAGGGAGUGUUUUAAUUUCCUUUGUUUGUUGACCGAAUCCCAUCUUUCUCAGUUACAUGCCGAUAUUUGGCUUUUGUUUUGGCUUUCAAUUAGCCUAAAAGUUCAAGAGUAGGCCCGAACUGCUCCCUCUUUCCAUUUAAUCACUGACAAAACCUACCUUUCAAUUCGACUUAGCGAAAGGACUUUAACUUUAGAACAAUCAAUCGAACGGCAGGUAAGGGCUUGUACUCUCUCUUCUGUGGAUACGCUACCCCUUCCGGCUAUUGUAGGGGGGAAGGGAAGUGAGAUCUACCCAUUGAUUUGAUAUUAGAUGAGUGGCCGUACUAUGAUCGUUCGGGAGACCCGGCCCAUUCAAAUCAAAAUAGAACGAGCACCUACGACUAAGGGGAAUGGAAUGUCGACCACAACGUGAGAGAAUCUUCUAAUACGAGAGCGGGUGACUGGUAAAGUCAUUAAACUUAGUCAUUUUGAUCAACAUGGUUGCAAGUGGACUGGGUUUAUGUGUUUAAACUGACUACGACCAAAGUCGUGGCUACUUCAACCAAAAAAAGGGCAACCCCCUAUUCAAACCGAAAUAAGUACCUAACUUACGAAGAAGUAGUUGGAGCUGGGCUCCGAACUAUGAGAGUUUGCUUUUGUUUUCUGUUUCUAAGAGUGGUCUGAUCCCUUAUUUGAUCAGACCGCUCCUGGUGUUAGUCAUUAAUGGUCGGCUUAAUUAGUACCCUUUCGGUAUGUGUUGUGAACACUUUCAUUUUUAGCUUCUCAUCUUCUCUAGAGAAGCUAAACUCGAACGGAUAGAACAGAUGGUCCAACUACAUAACUUUUUCUUUUUCAUUACUUCCAUGGUCGUGCCUCGUGGCACGGCAGCACCCGUACUAUUGAAAUGGUUCGUCAGUAGAGAUGUUCCUACAGGUGCCCCUUCUUUCAAUGGUACUAUAAUUCCUAUUCCUAUCCCUUCAUUCCCUCUUUUGGUCUAUCUACAUUCCAGGAAAUUCAUACGCUCCACGGACGGAGCAAAAAGUGGAGUCUUGGUCAGAGCAAGCCGCCCUAUUCUAUUACCAGACAUAAUUGGGAGAAGCUCAUCCGAAACUAGAGCUAGAAACGCCUUAUUUCGUUUCGUUCCCGUUCUUCAUUUCCUUCUUCUCGAAUCCAAGGGGGACUUCUCAUAUUUAGAAUCUUUCUGCGGUGUGCUCCGUUUACUAUUCUUUCGUACUUUCUUCUCUUUACCACGCGAUAGGUCAGCGAAGCGUGAGCGGGCGCGGAGAAGGAAACGCCAAACACUUCGGCCUAACGGGAAUCAGCAACGACGAAAUGACAAGAUGAGGUGCCCCGGGCACCCCCAUUUAGAAGGAAGGGUCGAAGGUUUUGGGCCUGUAGCUUUCCCCGUCCCCCCUUCAUCGGGCAGUGCUUGUGUGGGGGGUGCGCAACCAGAAAUCGGGCUUGAAGCUCUCACCUUACCAACGAGCCAACAGCUGAUGGCUGUUGGUCACGACUACUACAAAAAAGCUACAAUGAAGAUGAAUAUUUCACAUGGAGGAGUGUGCAUCUGUAUGUUGGGUGUUCUUCUGUCGUGCGACCCGGCAGCGUAUGUGCGACCUGUGGCCCACGCCUCCUAUUUGUUCAGGGUGGGUGGCGUGAACUCUGAUUCGAUCCGGGUAUUAAAUCCCGCCGCUGAGAUGCUCAGUUGACCCCUUAACCUUGAUAGGAAGAUGGCUUAUUCAAGAAUUCGUGCAUAAGGGUAAGGAACUUUGGAUGAACUAAUACGAAUGGAUGUAAGCCUCGCUGCUCGGAAACACCCAGUGCUGACCACACUGAGAGACACGAAAGCGCAGGUAACGCCAGUUGGCGAAGUGGCGUUAAACAUCCCUAGCGGUACGAAAAGAGAGGUCGUGAUGAUAUCAUCUACGUCCGUACCGCUCCUCGUGGAGUAGAUCCCGCAUCCAACCAAGUCUUUGACUAGGGAACGGGAGAAUUCCCACUACCGCUGGCAGGCCAGCCGGGCCGUGAGUGCGGUGGGAAUGGGCUUCCCAAAAAGCCAGCCCGGGCUGGGGUCAGCAUUGAAUGAAAGGGGCGGCCCUAAUGUUGUGUUGGCAAAGCCAACUUCCUGGGUUGCGGGCGGAGAAAAGCGGAUGUGGGGACUCGGGUCGGGGCGCAGCAUAACUAAGAGAGCCAUUCCAUUUAGGGCGAGACAAAAUGGGCGGGCACGGGCGGUCUGGUGUCCGCCCCGACUGGCAGCUGCUGGGUCUCCCCAUCUCUCCUAAACUUCCCCCGGUCUUCGGCCCGAGCUGUAUGAGGCAAAAACUCAUCCCACGUAUGGUUCGGAGGGCGAGCCCCACCCCAGCAGUAAGGGUGCGGCUUAGGUCAACUAACACAAAGAAGAUACAGUUCACUCAACGAUUGCCUUUGGGUUCCGAACUCCAUAUGGGGAAGGACCGUUGUUGUUUGCGAGGUCUCGAUCAUUUACAUGGACCCACUUCUCAUUCCAUUUCUGGGAAUUUGAUGAUCUAUAAACCGUCCCUAACGAACGAUCGGCUCAAGUUUGAGCAUGAUGAAUCACUUCAUGCCGACCUGUUGCCAAUAAACCAUCUGGCCUCAUAUGAGAAUGGAAAACUGGAGCAUUUUCUGCAUCGGUGGAUGAAGAAUCGAGAACAUAAUAAUUUCUGGUUGACCAUGUUCCCAGAAAAAAGAUACUUUCGAGAAACGACGAGCACGACUAAAGUGGCUAUACAUACAAAUCCAUUUACGGAUCUAUAUGCUCCGAUUGGAACUGUAAGUUCCAGAACAGGUGGCUGGUAUACUACCAUAAUGAAACUGCCUUUUCUUUAUUUUAUUCGGAUCGAAUUUAUGUUGGCUUCAUUGGGAGGCUCGCAUAGUUUGUUACGUCAGCUCCCAAAGGAUAAGUUGUGUUGGAAUCGAGAAAGUUCCGUGGAGUUCAUAAUUGCAUAAAUGGAGUCAAAUUAGUGGCUGCGGCGCGUUGAGGCACUUCUUCGACGGUCCUCGUACACCCGGCCUGCCGGCCCGCUCUGAAGAAUUCAUGGGUCGACGGCGAGACGAAUGGGCGGGCACUACUAACCAAGCCAAGCCCAGUUCUCCCCGAUAGGCAGGGGUAGCAUUCCGGUCUUAAGCAAAGCCGUCCUGUCCUAUCCGGCCGUAUGUCCUGUUCAGUCAGUUGCAUAUCGGUAAGCAUGAUUGUAGCAAGACUUUGUAGACGAAGGAGCUAUUUUCAACAAAUCCAUAUAUAGUAUGGGUGCCUGGUGAAUCCACACGAAUCAGCCUCAGAAUGCCCUUCGUGCCUAAAAGGUUAGUUCAAGGGCUUUGAUAGGGAAAUUCACACAUUUGUUGUCGUUUUAGAUGCGAUCAAAAAGCUUUUUUUCAAGCGUAGAGAAUAUGAGGAAGAUGCGAAUAGAGAUGCGAAAGUUCCUGUUGGAGUUGGAAGUGCAGGAGCAGUGAACAUGACUCUUGCAGAAGGCAAAAAUGCGGUAAAGAGGAGUUCCAGGCGUAGGAGUUCAUUCCACUAUAAGAAAUAGCAGUAGCACGCGCUUCCCUAGUAGCAGGAAAGGAGGAUAGAAUAAGUGCGCUACCUUCUCCCCAAGGCCUCCUUCUCAUAGUCAACCAAAGCUGCCAGAAAGGGUUACUGCACCUCUGACUAAGGUCCAGGUGUCAAAUGUCGAAAACCUAAAGACAUUUGUUGUUAAGCUAAGAAAUAAGGUAAAAGGGGGAUUAUUUAUUACAAAAGCUCCCCCCUUUCACAUGAUGACAUUAACAUUGAAGAGGAACAUGUCACUUCCAGCCAGACAAGCUACAAUGGGUUUUUGCGACCCAAGGAUAAAGCAAAUCAUGGAACGGGAAGGAAGUAAGGCAUUGGAAUUAGGAAAUAGCAUUUAUCCCAAGAUAGCGGUAGCAAGUCUUCUGUGGAGGCUAGGAGUAGAAAUAGGAGAAGGAAAGGCAAGAAGAGCCCUUUCUAUUGUAGUGGAAACCAUGCCUUUCCCACUUUAUUCGAAAGCGCCCCUGUCCUUUCUUCCUUCCUGCUUUCUUACGACAACUACCUAUUGUAUAUAUCAUAACAUCUUGAAAGAACAAGGUUCUCUAGAAUCGUCCCUUACUCCAUUUCUUUCUGUUAAAGGAAAGCCCAUGCCUUGACUUGCUUCACGCCGUACUUACUGCUUGCUUACAUGCUUACUUGGAACUGAACUCUCAUGAUUUCUCAUAAAUAAAUAAAAGAGCGAGAUGUGCCUCCAUGAAGGCGUUCUCUUCAGAGAACCCCUCAAGGAAUGGUUGACCUAGGCUAAAAGAAGCGCUGCUUUCUUCUCAGCUCGCUUAGGGCUUGGAAGAUUCUUCGUUAGCGAAUCAAUCGUAUGUAGUAGUUUUUUUUUUCUAUCUAUUCGAGAUUGGCUUGGUGUUCCGUGUACCUUUAAGUCUAAAUUUCAGAGUAAGCGAGCUUCUCGUUAGUGAGCCUUUCGGGGCUUUGGCUUGUCACAUUAGUAUGUAAUCUUUUCUCUUUUGAAGCGCCCUCUCUUUUAAAAGAAAAGGAAAUCCGUUUUCGGCCUAUACUAUAUAUCGAUUGAACCAGGGGCUGGGCUCAUGUUGUGUUGACAGACAUAAGAAGUAGGAUUCAGAAUAGGGGAAGAGCAGCUCUACUUCUACUUCUUCCUUGAGGGUGAGCCCUUAUGGCUUGUUCCAUUGAUAGAUUAGUUCGAGAUCCGGCGGAUUAGCUUUCUUGCCUUAGUUCUGGAAGAGAGAGUCAAGGGUAGCUUGCAAUCCAAAGAGCUAGUAGAGCCUCUUGACUUUGAGUUAGAGCUGCUUUAGUGGAACAGAACGUCAAGGCUUCUUCUUAUUGCUUUCCUUGAAGGACUUUCUCCCAUCUCUGAAUCGGUUACCCCCAGACGAGCCCACUUGAUUGAAAAAUGAGCUAAACCCUGAUGCCUCUGGCCCGCGUUGGAGAUGAUGCUUGACUUUCUAUUCGGGCAUUUACUGGUUGAGUAAGUUUUUUAUAUCUUUUAGGCAGGUUUGUUUUGAUCCGGGUAAGAUUCUCGCUUGCGGCUUUUUUUUUAAAAGAGCUAGCGACUCUAACUAAGAUAAUGUUGUCCACGCUCAAGCUAUAAGUCAAGCAGUAAAGCAGCAAAGACCUCUUACUAUGCUCCUCCAACUAUCCCUAUAGUUUCAGUGCUAGUUCUCAGUGAUCCAGUUAUAGAAUACUAGUUUCCUUACAUGGAGUUCCCUUGGUUUAAUUCUUGUAUUAAGUGAUAGUUCUGGGCGUCUUGGUAUUGGAUCCGUUUUUCUCUCGUGCUCUUCUGGGCGGUACAAAGAAAUUCGGAAUGAGCGCCCUAUUAAGUAAAGGUAGACAACAUAGAAAACUCAUCCGCUUGUCAAUUCUUGGUGUAAUACUCACUUCUUUUUCGACAUCUAGUUUUGUUGGGGCGUAACGUUCCUGACUGAGAAAAAAAAGUUCCAUAGGCAUCCUCCAUUAAUAUCGCGUGG
rnacentral:lncRNA from 1 species